rnacentral:misc_RNA from 1 species
GUGAAUUAAACAUGCUUGGUAUCUUCGCUUCGGCAAGGCCCUUGCUUAAAUCACAUCCUAACACCUGUGAACUGUAAGACGUAUGAUGAGGUCUUUGGCCAAGUCAUCGUCUGCCCAUUUUUAACAAACAAUUAAUGUAACAAACGUAGUCUUAUUAUAACCUAAUA